CCCUGGUAGUCCACGCCGUAAACGAUGUCGACUUGGAGGCUGUUUCCUUGAGAAGUGGCUUCCGGAGCUAACGCGUUAAGUCGACCGCCUGGGGAGUACGGCCGCAAGGUUAAAACUCAAAUGAAUUGACGGGGGCCCGCACAAGCGGUGGAGCAUGUGGUUUAAUUCGAUGCAACGCGAAGAACCUUACCUACUCUUGACAUCCACGGAAUUUGGCAGAGAUGCCUUAGUGCCUUCGGGAACCGUGAGACAGGUGCUGCAUGGCUGUCGUCAGCUCGUGUUGUGAAAUGUUGGGUUAAGUCCCGCAACGAGCGCAACCCUUAUCCUUUGUUGCCAGCGAUUCGGUCGGGAACUCAAAGGAGACUGCCGGUGAUAAACCGGAGGAAGGUGGGGAUGACGUCAAGUCAUCAUGGCCCUUACGAGUAGGGCUACACACGUGCUACAAUGGCGCAUACAAAGAGAAGCGACCUCGCGAGAGCAAGCGGACCUCAUAAAGUGCGUCGUAGUCCGGAUCGGAGUCUGCAACUCGACUCCGUGAAGUCGGAAUCGCUAGUAAUCGUGGAUCAGAAUGCCACGGUGAAUACGUUCCCGGGCCUUGUACACACCGCCCGUCACACCAUGGGAGUGGGUUGCAAAAGAAGUAGGUAGCUUAACCUUCGGGAGGGCGCUUACCACUUUGUGAUUCAUGACUGGGGUGAAGUCGUAACAAGGU
rnacentral:rRNA from 1 species